GUCCCAGUUCGGAUUGUAGUCUGCAACUCGACUACAUGAAGCUGGAAUCGCUAGUAAUCGCGAAUCAGAAUGUCGCGGUGAAUACGUUCCCGGGUCUUGUACACACCGCCCGUCACACCAUGGGAGUCGGAAAUGCCCGAAGUCAGUGACCUAACCGAAAGGAAGGAGCUGCCGAAGGUGGAGCCGGUAACUGGGGUGAAGUCGUAACAAGGUAUC
rnacentral:rRNA from 1 species